UACGUAGGUGGCAAGCGUUGUCCGGAUUUACUGGGCGUAGAGAGCGCGCAGGCGGUCGUUCAAGUCGCGUGUGAAAGCCCCCGGCUCAACUGGGGAGGGUCACGCGAUACUGAUCGACUCGAAGGCAGGAGAGGGUAGUGGAAUUCCCGGUGUAGUGGUGAAAUGCGUAGAUAUCGGGAGGAACACCAGUGGCGAAGGCGACUACCUGGCCUGUUCUUGACGCUGAGGCGCGAAAGCUAGGGGAGCAAACGGG
rnacentral:rRNA from 1 species